rnacentral:rRNA from 1 species
AUUGAACGCUGGCGGCAGGCCUAACACAUGCAAGUCGAGCGGAACGGCGGACGGGUGAGUAAUGCCUAGGCAGCUACCUGGUAGUGGGAGAUAAAGUCCUGAAACGAGCGCUAAUACAGCAUACUAUCAGCUGAGCCUAGAUCGGAUUAGCUAGUUGGUGGGGUAAGGGCCUACCAAGGCGACGAUCCGUAACUGGUCUGAGAGGAUGAUCAGUCAAACUGGAACUGAUACACGGUCCAGACUCCUACGUGAGGCAGCAGUGGGGAAUAGUGGACAAUGGGCGCAAGCCUGAUCCAGCCAUGCCGCGUGUGUGAAGAAGGUCUUCGGAUUGUAAAGCACUUUAAGUUGGGAGGCGUUACCAACAGAAUAAGCACCGGCUAACUUCGUGCCAGCAGCCGCGGUAAUAC